GUGAAGGAAGCUCCUCUCAUAAGAUUGCAAACUGGGAGUCUGAUGACACUGAGUGUGAGUGAUGGAAGCCCUUCAAGAAAGGAGCAGAAUGCUGAAGAUGAUGCCAGAAUUAAGCCAAGUUCCUGGCUUCUCCAAAGACCUUCAAGGACCCAAUUGACCUCGGAAUCAGCUGUAAAGGAGGAUGAAACCGAUUUCUAAGAAUGGGACAGCGAUAUUG